rnacentral:rRNA from 1 species
AGUGAACGCUGGCGGCAGGCCUAAUACAUGCAAGUCGAACGGCAGCACAGCAGAGCUUGCUCUGUGGGUGGCGAGUGGCGGACGGGUGAGGAAUACAUGGGAAUCUGCCCAGUCGUGGGGGAUAACGUAUGGAAACGUACGCUAAUACCGCAUGCGCCCUACGGGGGAAAGCCGGGGACCGAAAGGCCUGGCGCGAUUGGAUGAGCCCAUGUUCGAUUAGCUAGUUGGCGGGGUAAAGGCCCACCAAGGCGACGAUCGAUAGCUGGUCUGAGAGGAUGAUCAGCCACACUGGAACUGAGACACGGUCCAGACUCCUACGGGAGGCAGCAGUAGGGAAUAUUGGACAAUGGGGGCGAACCCUGACCCAGCCAUGCCGCGUGAGUGAAGAAGGCCCUCGGGUUGUAAAGCUCUUUUGUCCGGAAGAAAGCAUUCGGUUAAUACCCGGGUGUUCUGACGGUACCGGAAGAAUAAGCACCGGCUAACUUCGUGCCAGCAGCCGA